rnacentral:tRNA from 1 species
GGUGAGGUGGCUGAGUGGUUUAAGGCAGCGCCUUGGAAAGGCGUCGGCAGCUUAAUAAGCUGUCCAACAGUUCGAAUCUGUUUCUCACCGCCA